rnacentral:rRNA from 1 species
UACGUAGGGUCCGAGCGUUGUCCGGAGUUACUGGGCGUAAAGCGCGCGCAGGCGGCGGUGUUGGCCCGGCGUGAAAGCCCCCGGCUCAACCCGGGGAGAGUCGUCGGGGACCGCACCGCUUGAGGGCGGUAGGGGCUGGUGGAAUGCCUGGUGUAGUGGUGAAAUGCGUAGAGAUCAGGCAGAACACCUGGGGCGAAGGCGGCCAGCUGGGCCGUCCCUGACGCUGAGGCGCGAAGGCGUGGGGAGCGAACGGGG